rnacentral:rRNA from 1 species
AUGAAGCUGGAUUCGCUAGUAAUCGCGCAUCAGCCACGGCGCGGUGAAUACGUUCCCGGGCCUUGUACACACCGCCCGUCAAGCCAUGGAAGCCGGGAGUGCCUGAAGUGCGUGACCGCAAGGAGCGCCCUAAGGCAAUACCGGUGACUGGGGCUAAGUCGUAACAAGGUACC